rnacentral:rRNA from 1 species
CUACAAUGGGUGGUACAAAGAGAAGCCAACUCGCGAGAGCGCGCCGAAUCUCAAAAAGCCAAUCCUCAGUUCGGAUUGGAGUCUGCAACUCGACUCCAUGAAGUUGGAAUCGCUAGUAAUCGCGGAUCAGCAUGCCGCGGUGAAUACGUUCCCGGGCCUU